GUGGAUGUGUCAUGCACACUUUGCAGCAUGUUUUGCUGGAAAUAAAAUGGUUUGGUAUUUUGUCAAUAUGAAUGACCUCGCAUCGAUGUGCUACUUCAUUUCUUACAGGCUGACUACACAGCAAAAUCAAUUUUGAAAUCUAUGUUAUUCGUGCGUCUGCGUUUACAAGGGCUAAAAUAUGAUUCAGUUCUAUUUCUGAUGCAGAUCGCGCUGCAAGUCCUGCCUCUCCCAUCUCCUCAUUGGUUUAUAGAAGCAGGUACCCACGUGCCAUCUCCUCAUUGGUUAUGCCCACGUGGGUGACUGAAAGACGAACGAAGUCAGUGGCGGUAAUGCACCUAAUUUAUGAAAGUUGCCAAUCGCAAUAUAAAGUCAAGAGAAGAAAAAGGCUGGAAGGAGGAGAGAUGACUAGAAACGAUUCGGUUGACCGUUAUAUGUGUGGAUUAAUUGCCGGAGUAGAGGACCUUGUGCAUUUCAGAUGCAUUCAAGAUGAAAGUUGUGCCACCAAUGAAAAAUGAAGAAGUAAGUAAACUUAGUUUGGUGUGACACAGAUAAAAAACAAUACUAUGUGAUGUGACAUGGAGCUGGUGGGUUGUAGGGGAAUAAAACUGCAAAGUGGAAAAGUCAAAGUGGACUCAGAGGCUAUGCAAAAAGAUAUGAAGCUGCAAGAAAACAAAACAACAUUUGAAACAUAACGCAAAGCCUUUCAAGAAUUGCAGGUAUGUACCACAGUACCAGUACAUGUUAAGGUAUAGGCCUAUAUUGAAAUGACAGAGUGAAAAUGCUACAGUCCUUUAAAAAAGUGUAUUAUUAUUGUUAUUGUAUUUUCCUUUAUCUUUCCGUUCGGAAAUGAAAGCCUCACUAUUAAACUAGAAGAUCAGAGCAGUGAGAAUGAUGAUCCGUUGAACAGGUAUGUAUUUGAUUACAACAUGAUACUUUCACUAUAGAUUGUAUGAUCAUUCUGCUUUUAUCUGGCGCGUUUAUUUCUCGAACAGAAACAAUGCAACAUGGAACAUAAGUCAUAUACUGAAAGAUACGUUUGAAAGAUCAGCGGAGAAAGUCCAUCUACAUAAGUAAAACAUGCCGUCUUGUCAGCCUGUGUACAUGCUAGUACCUAAAUGCAAAAUGAGGACAUGUUGUGGUCUACGUUGUCCUCAAACUAACCUAUGUUCUCUUAGAGAAAAAACCCAUCACAUGUUCAUGGACAGAAGAUCAAAUAUUUUUUGUCACAUGCGCCGAAUACAACUGGUGUAAACCUUACCGUGAAAUGCUUACUUACAAGCCCUUAGCCCUUAACCAACAAUGUCCGGGGGUACAGGUUAGUCGAGGUAGUAAUCGCUGUUCUGAUAUCCUGAAGCUCUUUUCGGUCUUAAGAGAAGGUAGCAGAAGCAUUAUGUACAAAAUAAGUUACAAACAAUGAGAAAAAACACACAUAAUAGCAUAAUCAGUUAGGAGCCGGUAAAACGGCAGCCAUCCCCUCCAGCAUCAUUAUCACAGUGAAAGUACUCAGGUGAAUAUUAAUAUUUCCUGUUCUUUUGAUUAUUUGUUAUCUACAUGAAUAAAUCACGUAUGGUUACAUGAUGCUAGUGAAAUGUGUUUUUUUAAUUAACUGUUAUAGAGGAUGAAUGCUGCCUUUAAGAGCCUACGUAUUCAAGCAGAAACUGACCGCCAUGAGAUGCUGAAAGAGCAACAUCAGGAAGCCCUACAAAGUUCCAAACAAGAACAAGAAUCCCUGUUAGAGUCUGCAAAGUGCCGAACAGCUCAAUAAAGACUUUGAAGAGAGAUUAAAGAAAAGAAAGACAGCCAGCUACAACUCCUUGAAGAUGAACUGAGGAAAAUACAAGAGAUUGAGGGGCAGUUAUCUGCUGCAAUGAGAAGAGAUGAAAAAUCCAUCAAGGAAAAAGAUAAUCUAAAGACAGACAUUGUACAACAUGAGGUGAAGUAUGAAGAGCUAUCAGCAAGUUUCAAUCAGCUGCAACUUGAGAACAAGACUAUGCUGGAGAAGAUGCAGAAUGAAUCCUCAGAGGCAACCCUUCUUGUAGCACGACUAAAAGAGAGGGAGGCAAAAGAUGAAGAUGAAGGAAAUUGAAAGACUCCAGGAGGAAAACCAUCAAUUAUGAGAGGAUUUGAAAUCCUAAAAUGACAAAGUUGAAGAGCAAGGUGAAGACACUGAGAAUCUGCAGAAGAAACUUGGAAAAAGUGUACAGGAGCUACAGCUUCGAGCUACAGAGGCCGUCAAGAGUAAGGAAGAUGCUGAAGUCAAAUGUCAGAACAAGACGCAGACAUGGUUGCCGUGACAGAAAGCACAAGGUUAAGUUCUCUGUUGGUAUCAGAACCACUAUGACAAAAUGGUUGAUGAGAAAGAUGCAGAGCUUGAUGAGAAGAAGAGGAAAGACAUGGAGGCAGCUGUUAAUAGAACAUCACUGAACAUGGAGAAUGGCCAUUUGAAGGAACAACUGGAGAAAGAAAUGAAGGAGAGGGAAAGCUGACUACAGGAGAUUACAGGCCUGGAAAAAGAGACGGCGUGUCAGAAAAUGAGCAGGCAACUGGAGACACAGGAUAAACAGGAAAUGGAAAGCGAAGCCCCAAGAACGCAAUCUUGGAGCUUUAUGACUACAGUUAGAGCAACAUCGCAAAUGAAGAUCCAGAGCCCUGUUGUUCAGAAAUCACUUGGGAGUGCUUUAAAGCUCGCUGCAAUGAAAAGGAUGCAGGAUGCUGGUUGGACAGCUGUCGCUGGUGCUGACAAGGAGAAGAAAAACAUCAAGUGCUUUUCAAAAUUGAUCGUUUUUUGUGUGUGUGACAAAUGUGGACAUUCAAUAUGCUCUUUUCAUUACACCACUGCUCUCAAGUUCAUCCAUGUCUAUAGUUGUCUGAUGCUGGGAAAUCUGUUGACCGAAAUAGACAUUUAAAAUGCAAGUCAAAACAAUUUGAAAUGACCCAGGUAUAUUAUCUUGUUUUGAUGUUACUGUUUAGCCACAUUACUCACUUUAUUAAUGGAAAAAAUGGAAAAUGCUUGUUUUGAACAGACUUGCCACCUUUGACUCCAUUCAACAUAAAUAAGUUCAAGUGUUUGUUCAUAACAUUGUUGUUUUUGCUUGUGCUGUUUUUAUGUUCCUACAUAUGACAUUUGUCAACAUUGUGUUAUUUACAGUGGUGUAAAGUACUUAAGUAAAAAUACGUUAAAGUACUACUAAAGUAGUUUUUUGGUAUCUGUACUUUACUUCACUAUUUAUAUUUUUGACAACUUUUACUCCACUACAUUCCUAAAGAAAACUAUGGACUUUUUACUGCAUACAUUUCGAAUGCUUAGCAGGACAUGAAAAUGGUG
rnacentral:lncRNA from 1 species